ACAUUGGUGGUUCAGUGGUAGAAUUCUUGCCUUCUAUGUAGGAAAACUGGGUUCAAUUCCCAGCCAAUGUG